GACGAACGCUGGCGGCGUGCUUAACACAUGCAAGUCGAACGGAAAGGCCCUGCUUUUGUGGGGUGCUCGAGUGGCGAACGGGUGAGUAACACGUGAGUAACCUGCCCUUGAUUUUGGGAUAACUUCAGGAAACUGGGGCUAAUACCGGAUAGGAGCUCCUGCUGCAUGGUGGGGGUUGGAAAGUUUCGGCGGUUGGGGAUGGACUCGCGGCUUAUCAGCUUGUUGGUGGGGUAGUGGCUUACCAAGGCUUUGACGGGUAGCCGGCCUGAGAGGGUGACCGGCCACAUUGGGACUGAGAUCCGGCCCAGACUCCUACGGGAGGCAGCAGUGGGGAAUAUUGCACAAUGGGCGGAAGCCUGAUGCAGCAACGCCGCGUGCGGGAUGACGGCCUUCGGGUUGUAACCCGCUUUCGCCUGUGACGAAGCGUGAGUGACGGUAAUGGGUAAAGAAGCACCGGCUAACUACGUG
rnacentral:rRNA from 1 species